GAGGCAAGAGAAUGAAAGUGGUCAGGAAAAAACAAAGGGUUGGGGUACCAGCUGGAAGCUGUGUUUAAUAUGUUGGUUGAAUAAAUAGGAAAGAAAAAUGCACUCGUCCAUGGGUGCAAAACACAGCAUGAUGCUGUUUAAAUAAAGAGAUGCCUCUGUGAGAGAGUUUUGACCACCUCAGCUGUAGGUUCUCCUUGAACAGCAACUUUAGGUGGUCUCUAGGUUUGUAUAGUGCCAACCAGGCAGUGGCAGAGCUUUGUUAGUAGAAACUGGGUCAGUCAUCCUGAGGUUGAUGAACUUCUGAACUGCCAGUGAAAAGGAAGAUGAAGUUAAAGGCAAUGCCCCCUCUCUGCCCAUGCUGGUAUUGCCUACCUUCUCCGAGCUUUGAAAAUGCCUCCUAAGCGCCCAUGCUUGACAGUAGACAUAAAUCCAAAUGUGUUAACGCAGAUUAAUGAUUCAAUGGCACAGUAAAUUUGAAUAAAAAUAAAUAAUAUCAAUAUCCAUUCAUCCAUUUUCAGAUCCUCUUAUUCUUAUUGGGGUUGUAAGCAUCACUCCUGCAGGAAAAGAUGCCAACCGAAAAGCAGUGCAAAGUGAACGGUCUGCAAGAAGUCACCAAAGACAAGGCAGGAUCCACCCCGGAUUAGGGUUCUCUUAGACACACACUCACCUCACACUUAAGUCAACGGUUUGCCAACUUGGAUAAUGUCAAAGUGUGGGAGGAAACCAGCCUACCCGUAAAGGCCACCAUUUUCCACACACAGAGCAUGUGGGCCCAGAAUGAAAUCAGGUCUCGCAGAUAAUAGUGAGCGCACAUUACUAACUGCUGCAUCUUUAAUGAUCAUGUUGAGCAGUAUGUAGUGCAAUGCUGGCUUUAGUUCUGAAUGGUGUGUCAGUCUAAUAAGGAACACACCUACUUAAACCUGGGCAAUUUUUAGUCACCAUUACACCUAACACACUGUGCUUGUUUUGUGGAUGUAGGAGUAAAUCAUCCAUGGACAAGAGCUCCAUAUUUAUAGUACAGGGGUGACCAACUCCGAUCCUGGAGAGCUGCAGUGGCUGCAAGUUUUUGUUCCAACCCAGUCGUUUAAUUAAAAGCCAAUCCUCACCAGUAACAGAUCUUAUUUAAUUUUAUGGCUUAUUAGUGUCGUAACUCUACCAUAUCAGUUCAUUUUUAAAUUAUAGAUUUUUGUUUUCCUUUCUAAUGAUACAUAUAUCAUCCAAUUGAUUCGAAGCCUAAAACAGAUGAGUAAUUUUCAGUUCUUCACUUUCUCUGCAGUUUCCUUCUGAGUGCUUAAUUAAACCAAAUAGGGAGGGUGGAAAUGGACACAAGCUAGAUGUGGAACUGCUGGUUCCCUUCUCAUUUACAUAUUAUUUUAAAUAAGGAGCAGUUAAAACAAUGAAUACCACUAUUUAAGACUAAAAUAAGUAAUUAAGGGUUACAAAUCUUAACAAGUGAGACAGAUAAAAUGAAUCAGAAAAAUGUCACUUGAGCAAUAAGUGCUUCACCAACAAUGAAUGAUUUCCAUCCAUCCAUCCAUUAUCCAACCCGCUAUAUCCUAUCUAAAGGGCCACAGGGGUCUGCUGGAGCCAAUCCCAGCCAACACAGGGUGCAAGGCAGGAAAAAAACCCAGAGCAGAGCACCAGCCCACCACAAUAAAUGAUUUCUCAUGAAGCAAAUGAGUUGGAACAAAAACCUGAAGCCACUACGGCCCUCCAGGACCAACGAUGCUUAGCCCUGAUUUAAAGGGUCCGAGUAAUAAUAGCAAAUCUUUAAAUGAAGUUAAUUAGUAGCAAAAACCAGUCACUAAUUAAGAAAAUGGUUAGAAUGAAAACCAGUAGCCACUGUGGCUCUCCAAGAUCAGAGUUGGCCGUCUCUGUUAUCUAGGAAGAAAUGUGCGCCAUGGACCAUGGAAAUUUGAGGCAGGAGCACCAACCACUGCACUGAACAAACUUAUCUUUUAUUGUGGAUAUUUAUUGCAAAGAUAUAGGAAAUAAAAUUCAUCACACAUGCCUAAGUAGUUUUAUCUGAAAAUAAAUACUUCUUCCAUCCAUCCAUCCAUCCAUCCAUUCAUCUGUCUAAAUAUACAAAAUUAAUUUACACUUUGCCAGUCUUUAUUAAAUACAGUAAUAUGUAUUGGAAGGUAAUAAUUGCACAGUUCAAAAAAUUAGUCGAAGUAAAUGUUCUGCAUUUUGCAUGUAGUGAUUGAGACCACUUCCGCUAGACUUACACAUGCUAAUGGCAAACCUCUAGUUCUGCAGGAGAAUGCAAAGCUACGCCAACCAGGGUGUUCAGGGUAGAAACCACCUUGUCUCAAAACGCAAUUUCCUGUGUGCAACAUCCUGUACGUUGACUGAUGUACUUCCAGCAAGAAAUAUCAAUUGAAAGGGUUUGCAGAAGUAAGAUUUUCCAAAUACAUUUGCAAAUGUUCAUAGAGUCAGAGCUUCAAUGAGUUUGUGGCUUUCUUCUUGAACAGAAGUGAAUGCCCAAGUUUUGUAAACAAAACUACAUUUUCAAGUGAGUAGGAACUGAAAAAAAUCUUACAAAUGACAAGACUCAAUUUAGUCCGUCUAAGUUUUCCAGUAAGACAUUUAGUUAAUGUUCCAAUAAUUGCAUCCAGUUGUUUCCUAAAUGAGGAUAGUAGCUUGAGUAAGUUAUGUGAAUUGCCUAAGGUAUGUGCCUUGUGUCAUUUGGGGCCUAUUGAGUUUGGGACCAGCCUGUUAUCUAUAAAACUUGUGCCAUUUUGAUGUUGGUAUGUUAAGAAGGCAGCCAGCUUCAUCGCUUCAAGCCAAAAGUUUUACACCCAAAGUCACGGCAUGCCAUAUUGGGAGUGUUGUCAAGCCUAAAAGCCCUAGGUUAGCACUUAUGAAUAAGCAAAUUUUUCUAGAUCUUUACUCUUUUGUAAAUUAAAAAGCCAAAAACGAUAACAAAAAAAAAAAAAAUCAUAUCCCCUUGGGGCAACAGCAGGUUUGGUUGUAUUACUAUGAUUUUUUACAGUCUUUAUAACAACAUGUUUUGUAACAAUGACUUUUUUUCCUGACAGGUAUAGGUGUCCAAAAAUUGAAAUCAUCUUACAGCCAGUAUAUUUUAAGUGCUGACAAGGAUAAUUUAAUUUUAAUAAGCCUGGGUAAGAAGUAAGAUUUUAUCUAUAAUGAAAAUAUAUUUAAUGCAGGUUAAUGCGAGACAGAAUGUUUUUGCUGAUCUUGAGUAUUGAGGAAAUAUCUUAUGAUAAUGCUGCAGAAGUGGCAUGUCUGCCAGGUCCCAUUCAAAACUGCACUUCUUGUUGAAACACUGAGCCAGCUGAAAGGUUUGCAUAGGCACUAUGCCCUAGACAGGGGUACACAACUCCAGACCUGGAUAUUUGUAGUGGCUGCAGAUUUUCAUUUUAACUAAAUUUUUUAUUAGAACCCAUUUAUUUACUACUAAAGGAAUAUGCUUUGUUGGGUUCCGUUUUAGUUAACUUGUUUGUUACGAAUCAGAACCCUUAAUUAUCUAUUUUAGUUUUAAGCAGCUGCAUUAAGGUUUAAAUUGCUGCCUGUUUUCAUAACUAGUCAUCAGUUAAUAACGAGGUGCAAAUGACAAAUUAACCACCAGCACUCCAGCUAAUGUGCUUCCAUUUAAGCCUGUGUAUGUACAUCAUGAAGUAUCUGUGUUAAUAUUCUUCUUCUUCUUUUGGCUGCUCCCAUUAGGGGUUGCCACAGCGGAUCAUCUUCUUCCAUAUCUUUCUGUCCUCUGCAUCUUGUUCUGUUACACCCAUCACCUGCAUGUCCUCUCUCACCACAUCCAUAAAUCUUCUCUUAGGCCUUCCUCUUUUCCUCUUCCCUGGCAGCUCUAUCUUUAGCAUGCUUCUCCCAAUAGACCCAGCAUCUCUUCUCUGCACAUGUCCAAACCAACACAAUCUCGCCUCUCUGACUUUAUCUCCCAACCGUCCAACUUGAGCUGACCUUCUAAUGUACUCAUUUCUAAUCCUAUCCACCCUCGUCACACCCAAUGCAAAUCUUAGCAUCUCUUACUCUGCCAUCUCCAGCUCUGUCUCCUGCUUUCUGGUCAGUGCCACCGUCUCCAAACCCAUAUGACAUAGCUGGUCUCACUACCGUCCUGUAGACCUUCCCUUUCACUCUUGCUGAAACCUGUCUGACACAAAUUACUCCUGACACUCUUCUCCACCCAUUCCACCCUGCCAGCAUUCUCUUCUUCACCUCUCUUCCACAAUCCUCAUUACUCUGUAAUGAUCUUAAUCUUUGUUAAUAUAAUGUUUUGAAAUAAAUAUGAAUGAGGAAGGAAAAACCAAGAGGUGCAAAUCUGUUCCAGACCACAAAACACAUGAAUAAUGUUCUAAGAAAAUAAAAAAUCUACAAUGUAAUAAACAUUUGUCUCAGAAGAUUGAAAGAAUGAACGUGCCCUAUAAUGAAAUACAUAGUUGUAUUAUAUGCUAGGCCUGGCGUGUAAUUAUGAAACUGGUUGGAAUGAAAACUUGUAGCCACUGUGGACCACCAGGACUGGAGUUGAGUCCCUGGCCUAGACUAUUUUGAUUUCAAAAUUGUUCAGUCUGGGAUGAUUUAUUGUUUUGUCAUUGUAAUAAUAUAAAUCCUGCUAUUCUGCAUCCAUAUGCUCUCCCUUUAUUGUUGUACAUGGACAAUUGAUUUCAAUGAUGUUGAUCAUUUUCAUAUACACAAGUGUUCAUAAAUUAUUAACAAAAAUAAAAUGGCUAUGUAACAUAACAUUUUUCUAAUAAUGAUAAUGUUUAAGCAAAGGUGAAAUUAAAUGGUCAUGCUAAGCUUAACAAGCCAAGACUAAAACUUAUCAGCACUAAAUAAACCAACAGAAACAUUCAAAAAACAAGUUUCCAACUAUACACAAUGUUGAAAGAAGCAGACUACUCGCAGAUCAUUUUAGGAGCAUGUUUAAGUCAUUUAGAUCAAAAAUCUUACAAAUUUUUCUAUCACACAUUGCACCAGGGCUAAAUCACCAAGGCGAUCUUUGAUUUCUCUCUUUAUCUGUUCUAAUGGCUCUUUUUUUGUAGCCUCUCUUGUCUUUCACUCCUUUCAUCUCCUUAACUUUCUUCUCUCCUUGCCUGUCUAUAUACGUUACCUGUAUUUUUUCAUUUUAGUCUCACACCUCUAAUCUUUUUAUCUAUUUUUUCAAGCACUGGACUAAUUUCCAUUAUAUAGAUACAUGUAUGCAUCUCAAUCCAUUCAUCUACGACUGUAUACGUGUAUCACAUCUAAUAAUUGCAUUCAAAUUAUCUGCUGUUCUCUUCAAGACACUUAAAUACAUAAAUUGUGCUUAUUCUACUGUAGAGUCAUAUACUGCAGAGAAUAUCCUAAAUAAUUACCCAAGGGUUGGUGUACAUGGACCUGGAGUAGUGGAAGAGGAAUAAUGAAAAAAAUAGUGUCUUCCAGAAUUUACUGUUGCAGUGUGUUUAUGCUGUCUACUGACCGCAGCUAAGACGAUUUAAUACAAAUUAAUGUUUUUGUGCUAGUCAUUACCUUUGUGUGCUCAUACAGAGCUUGCUCUACAUGAAUACAUACAUUGAAACAUGAUGUCAGAUGUAACAUGAAUAAUGCACACAGUAGUAAUCUAGCACAUAGAACUUAUGUAGAGCCUGAUUGAAACAGAGGUACCAAAUCUAAUGGAGGCACCUUUUAUUUAUUUAUUUACUUAUUUUUGCCUCACAGGCACCUCUAAAGACCACAACUGACAUAUGUGGUGCUGGAUUUACUAUAUUUACAUAAUUAAUUGCACUUAUAUGCCGCUUUUCUAUCCUACUUAAUGCUGUUUACAUAGACAGUGGGCAAUCCCUUCAAACACUACCAAUGUGUAGCACCCGCCUGGAUGAUGGAACAGCAACCAUUUUUGUGCUAACAGACUCAAAACGCAUUUGCUAUUGGGUGAUGAAGUGGUGAGAGAGAGAGAGCCAAUAAGAGACAGGGGAUGAUUAGGGGAGCCAGAAUGACCAGGCCAUAGUGUGCACUUUAGCUAGGACAUUGGAAAACACCGUACUCUUUUUCAGCUGAUGCCUAGGGAUCUUUUAUGACCACAGAGAGUCAGGACUGUGUUUUUACAUCUCAUUCACAGGAAGGUGACAAUUUGUAGAGUACAGUACAUAAAUCCCUUAUGACUCAUCAUCAAAGUUCCAAAUUUUGGUUUGCAUCUUAAAUGACACCAGAUCCAAUGAAGCUGUCAUGUAAAAGAGUAGAUAAGAAAUGUAUUCAUGUACAAAUUGAUUCAUUUCUGAAUAGUACUCCAUAAUCUAAUUACAUGUGUAUUUAUCUAUCUAUGGAUAUCAUAAAAAGAAUGAAACAGAGAAAUCUAAAAAGGCUGGAGUCCAGUCCCAAAGGGAAAAACCUGUUUAAUAGCAUUGACACUGUAGGAGGUGGAGAAUGUGAUAGCACCAGGGAUGACUGCCACAUCAAAGUAAUUGGAGCCUUCUUUCCAUGCAGAGUUUAGACAGGUAAGGUAGGUUUGUGAUUGAUGUCCUUCAAUACCAGUGUUCCAGAGGAAUGUGGAACAGACUGGAAUGAUGGGAGGAGUCAGCCAGAGCUUCGUCAUUUUCCCUGAAGUCGACAACUUCUGAGCUGUUGAGCAAGUAAAGUAAUUCAUGAUUCUCCUAAUGAACCUUUUACGUUACUCGCUGUAGGCAUAAUCAAAGAAACAUGCCCUGGGCUGUAAUGCCUGAGAUUUGGUAUGAUUCAUGUUAGAAUGUUUUGAGUUUGUUUUUCUUGUUUUAAUUUUCUCACAAUUCUGCUGACGCCAUUUUGUUUAUUUUUAAUACCAUCUCUGCCAUUUUGGGAGGAAUUUUGAUGGCAGUGGCCAUGUUGUUUAUACUUUGCUAUGCCUGUUGCUGCUCAUGUCAUACAGAAAUCAUGUGGUUUACUGUGUCAUCAUGUACCACAUAUUUAAGAUGGUGAUAUGACUCCCUAGGCAUUCUUGCUUUGGAUCUCUUACUUUAUUUUGCUUUCUUACUAUAGGAAAGUGAAAAAUAAAUGGUGCUUUUGAGAAGACUUUAUGGAAGGACUUUUGGUUGGUACAGUAUUUUGAGUUAAAUUCUGUUAUUUUUGUCUUGGGUUUCAUCGUUCCAUUUCUCUGUCAGUGCCCCAGUAACUCUUAGACAGUGCCGGUAAAUUCAUUAGACAUCAUAGGUGGCCAGCAAGGGUGUAGUUCCUGAAAGUUAAGAAGUGUGCACUCUGGACAUCAACGGGAAGUGUUUAUGUAACUCCAGUGGCAUGGACUGCCAUAAUCCAUCCCCCCAACUGAACACCAAGUGCCGCCAUUUUGGUAACUCAGGGGGUUCUUACGCUGAACACCAAAGGAGGGGGUCUUCAAAGUCUAAUGAUAUUGAAUGCGCAUAUGGAAACCAAAGGGUGCCGUUCAUGUAACUCAAGUGGCAAGUGCUCAGGACCUUUCUGUACCCACCUUCAUCAACACUAAGUAUAUAUAGUAUGUUUAUGUGUGUCUAUUUGUGUAUACAAAGAGGACACAAUCCCCUUUUAAUAUAAAGCUUACUAGAAGAUUAAGAAAGUUAAAGGGACCAUCGUGGUCCAUGAAAUUGUUGAUUAAGUGGCUUAUUAGGAAACAGUACUGGCCUCUUCAGAUGUGGGCCUGAGAAUUAAUGCAGACUUCUGGAUUGUCUUACUCUUAUAUAGCAGACUGACAGGACAAGGAGACAGGCUCACAGCACCCCAGAGGGUGCCAACAGAGGUUGCAGGGAUGGGGAGCUGCAUUCGUUAGUGUCAAAGCUCUGCUGAGUAUGCUUAUUGAAUGAGCAGGGUGUGAUUGGACAGAGUCUGACUGAAGGAAACCGAUUCCGACUGCUUUUAUCAUUGAUUUUGAGUAUUUUUUGGAUUUAUUUAUUUAUUGGAUUUUUAACUUCCUGCAUUGCAGUGUUUCUUUUAUGAAUAAUUUAUUGAAGUUGUUAUUUAACCACUGCAUGAUGGACAUUGUUUGUCUUAAAAUAAAUGCACUAUGCACUUGCUGUUUGUGUCCUCAUUCGCCAUUGUUUAUCACUAUCAGUUAUGACUAUCAAUUUCCUGGGAAAUGGAAGAAGCUCAUGGUUACAGACACAUGGGGCAUCACACAUAGACACAUAAUGUUUUUGAAAUGUCAUCUCGGUAGAAAACAAAUCUAAAAUAUACUUUAACAGAUGUCAAAAUUGCUUAUCUGUACUUAUCAUUCAACAUACCAAUCAAUACAGCUAGCUCUGACACUUAACAAAGAGGUAAUUUCCCACUUCUACUUCACAAAAACCUCUCAAUUUCUUCAUUUGAGGAGUUAAUGAAAAAUGUUGUCUAUGCUGAACAAAUCUGUGACUUGAGGUAUGAAUGAGAGAGAAUCAUCACAGCAAUAGCAGACAUCACACUAGGCACGGCUGACAGGACUUGAAUAGAAAUAAAGCAUCAUGUUGAUGUCGGUGAUAAUGAAAAUAGUGUUAACAUUCUUUUAGCAUUCUUUUUCCUUUCCUUUCAGAAUAUUUAAUUUGGAAUUUUCUAAAAU